AGUGAACGCUGGCGGUAGGCCUAACACAUGCAAGUCGAACGGCAGCACAGUAAGAGCUUGCUCUUACGGGUGGCGAGUGGCGGACGGGUGAGGAAUACAUCGGAAUCUACUUUUUCGUGGGGGAUAACGUAGGGAAACUUACGCUAAUACCGCAUACGCCCUACGGGUGAAAGCAGGGGAUCUUCGGACCUUGCGCGAUUGAAUGAGCCGAUGUCGGAUUAGCUAGUUGGCGGGGUAAAGGCCCACCAAGGCGACGAUCCGUAGCUGGUCUGAGAGGAUGAUCAGCCACACUGGAACUGAGACACGGUCAAGACUCCUGCGGGAGGCAGCAGUGGGGAAUAUUGGACAAUGGGCGGAAGCAUGAUCCAGCCAUACCGCGUGGGUGAAGAAGGCCUUCGGGUUGUAAAGCCCUUUUGUUGGGAAAGAAAAGCAGCAGGUUAAUACCCCGCUGUUCUGACGGUACCCAAAGAAUAAGCACCGGCUAACUUCGUG
rnacentral:rRNA from 1 species